UGAUCAGAAGAAAUGUAAAUAUUCUGUUGGAAUGUUCAUGGAUUGGGGAGUUCGCAAGCAGUAAGAAGACUUCAGCAUAUGCUGAAAAUUUAUCAUCCCUAAAUUGUCUUUUUCCUGGAGACAAAGUUGAGUGAAAAUCGAAUGGAGAAUGUCAGGAGACGAUGUGGUGUUUUUUAAUGGUGUUGACGUUCCUGCUGAUGGAACAUGGGGGGCUUGAGCAUAGGAUGGAAUGGG
rnacentral:lncRNA from 1 species